rnacentral:rRNA from 1 species
UACGUAGGGUGCGAGCGUUAAUCGGAAUUACUGGGCGUAAAGCGUGCGCAGGCGGUUCGCCAAGUCAGGUGUGAAAUCCCCGGGCUUAACCUGGGAACUGCAUUUGUGACUGCAAGGCUAGAGUACGGCAGAGGGGGAUGGAAUUCCGCGUGUAGCAGUGAAAUGCGUAGAUAUGCGGAGGAACACCGAUGGCGAAGGCAAUCCCCUGGGCCUGUACUGACGCUCAUGCACGAAAGCGUGGGGAGCAAACAGG